UAAUGCUUCUAAAAGCCAACUCAA
rnacentral:misc_RNA from 1 species